rnacentral:rRNA from 2 species
UCUGGUGUCAGCCGCCGCGGUAAAACCAGCACCUCAAGUGGUCAGGAUGAUUAUUGGGCCUAAAGCAUCCGUAGCCGGCUCUGUAAGUUUUCGGUUAAAUCUGUAUGCUCAACAUACAGGCUGCCGGGAAUACUGCAGAGCUAGGGAGUGGGAGAGGUAGACGGUACUCGGUAGGAAGGGGUAAAAUCCUUUGAUCUAUUGAUGACCACCUGUGGCGAAGGCGGUCUACCAGAACACGUCCGACGGUGAGGGAUGAAAGCUGGGGGAGCAAACCGGAUUAGAUACCCGGGUAGUCCCAGCUGUAAACUAUGCAAACUCAGUGAUGCAUUGGCUUGUGGCCAAUGCAGUGCUGCAGGGAAGCCGUUAAGUUUGCCGCCUGGGAAGUACGUACGCAAGUAUGAAACUUAAAG